AGUGAACGCUGGCGGUAGGCCUAACACAUGCAAGUCGAACGGCAGCACAGUAAGAGCUUGCUCUUACGGGUGGCGAGUGGCGGACGGGUGAGGAAUAUAUCGGAAUCUACUUUUUCGUGGGGGAUAACGUAGGGAAACUUACGCUAAUACCGCAUACGACCUACGGUUGAAAGCAGGGGAUCUUCGGACCUUGCGCGAUUGAAUGCGCCGAUGUCGGAUUAGUUAGUUGGCGGGGUAAAGGCCCACCAAGGCGACGAUCCGUAGCUGGUCUGAGAGGAUGGUCGGCCACACUGGAACGGAGACACGGUCCAGACUACUACGGGAGGCAGCAGUGGGGAAUAUUGGACAAUGGGCGCAAGCCUGAUCCAGCCAUACCGCGUGGGUGAAGAAGGCCUUCGGGUUGUAAAGCCCUUUUGUUGGGAAAGAAAAGCAGCAGGUUAAUACCCCGCUGUUCUGACGGUACCCAAAGAAUAAGCACCGGCUAACUUCGUG
rnacentral:rRNA from 1 species